GGAGGGGUGUGGCUCAGUGGUCGAGCAUCUGCUUGGCAAGCAGAAGGUCCCUAGUUCGGUCCCUGGCAUCUCCA
rnacentral:tRNA from 1 species